UCAUUUCCUCGGUCCGUUCUUUGCCCAUUGAUCACGAAACGUCUACAAACCCAGAAGAAGAAAGAUGGAAACUUUAAAAGUUCUUCGAACACAAAAAAAAUGGAGAAUUGACGAUGAUUUACAUCGACUUUGUGAAGUAUUGGCUUGAAUUCAAAUGGGAGUCAGAAAUUAGGGUAAUUUUCUCGUACAAUAUAAUCUGAGCUCUUCUCGAGUUUCCUUUUGGAUCUUGGUGGCAAGUUUUCUUCAGUCAAGAGGAGUUCCAAGAUUAUAUAUUGUUCUUUCUUCCCCCUCCAGUUGGUUUCCAUCUCUUUUGCAAUAAAUCUGGAUGUGCUCUUCAUAUACAUAGAUUUGUGCUCAGAUUCAGUUCAUAGUUAUAUCCCUUUUUUGUUGGUCUUAAAUCUUAAUUGACAUUAGAGAUCCAAUUGGCAAAUUUCCAAGAUAACACCUUUUUGUCUACCGUUGAGAAACAGAGUUCCCACUUAUUGGUGUCUCUGCUCUGUGGGUAAGAUUGUUGUUAAAAAAGUUGAUUGCCUUUUCAGACGCUAAUUAAAUUCAAUCCUCUAGGAGCAUAUUCAUCUGAUCAGUUUCUUACAGGCUUACAUAUAACUUCGAAAAGCCUUAGUUUGUUUCAAUAGUACAUUGUUACAUGAGCUUCCCUUAAAAGCUCAUGAUUUUGGUUUCCAAUCACUUACAUAGACCAUGCUUCCCUAAGAAGCUCAUAUCUUACAUUUGUAACUACUGCUUGGGUGUUUGCAAAUGGAAUGUUCGGUUUGGCUUUUUCAUUCAAAUUCUGCUUACCUUACUUGAAAGCCGGAAAGCAUGAUCUUGGAGAUUAGGAGCUGAAUAUGACUACGCGAGUUUCUAGCAGAUUACAGUUGUGUUCCAGUGAUUGGUGGUGGUGUGGACUUACAUCAUACUUACCUUGGAAAAGUGUUCCUCACGGGAUACUAAGACGUCUUGUUAGUCCUAAUCCAUGGUCCCUUGGUGCAUAUCAGAAUUGGACUUUCAUUAAGGCACUAAUCACUUCCUCUCUACUUAUUACUCUCUACAAUAUUUAUGCUUUAUGCUCAGAUUUAUCAAAGUUCACAAUGAAACUGCAAGAGAUACUGGAUGUGUCUGUGGUUUACAUCCUUCUAGCGUUAGUUCCAGCUUCAAUGUGGCAAACCGCUUGCUUGCCAAGGUUUGCUCAAACAUAAACAAGCGUAAUGGAAAGUUUGUUCUACAAAAUGAUGAUCUAUCGAUCAACUGUCAUGACAUUCAUAUCUUCCCUUCCAAUUAGAAAGAUUGGGUGAAUCGGGAAGGUCACCGAGCAUAUUCUGAAGAAUGUUUUAGGAAUUAAAACAUGUGAGGAGAUGGUUCUGAAGGGGAUCUCUUCUCUAUGCUCUCUUCACUCAGUCUUCAGGAGGUAGCAGUAUCUCCUGCCCAAAGAAGGUAUUGGUCCCAUAUCGAAGGUUUGUCGCCUGCAAAGCAACGGAGAUAUGUCUCCAAACACAAGUUUACCACUUCUGUCUAACCAUCUACUUACUUCAUGGGAAAACCUUUUGACUUUUGAAUGUUUUCGACGGACCUUCGAGACCAUCAAUUGGUCCAGAACUAAAUUGUGGUAACAGCAUUCGAAGGAGGGGGCAUACAAAAGAAACCACAAGUCGUCUAUCUUUCAACAAAAAUGGUAGCGUUAUACAGUAUCUUGUUUCUAUUAAAAUUAGUAACACAAAUGUAAAGCUACUACAAUUGUUUGUACAAAAGAGCCUGGUUCUACAUAAUAA